rnacentral:lncRNA from 1 species
AAACCUCCUCAAUCAAGUCGAGAGUGAACCGACAUGAGCAAGUCAUAUUAGAUUAAUUGAUCUAAUUGGUGUCUAGGAAAGCAUGAAAGGCGGUUACUUAAUUAGGACCUUACUCUCUGAGUAAGGGGAGCCUCCCACCUGCUUACCUGGCCAAUUGUUCGAUUACCUCUUAUGAAGGGCUCAAGUUGCAAACACUAAGAGCUGAUUAACCAAUAUUAAGUCAAUAGGUCUUCCACUGUAGUAGAGCUGCUAAAGCCUUUCUGAUGUUGAUUUGUCUCGGCUGGACACAGUGGUCAAGUUGCAUCGGGGGGGCUGGACCUCUCUAUAGACAUGAGAUGUUGUAGGGUAAAGGUGGGGUUGGGCACCAAUAACUGUUAGGUGAGGACCCAAUGACGACUUUAUUCCUACGGUUGUACAGUGGGUCUGACUUAACUAAGAAAUGGGACCAAUAACUGUUAGGUGAGGUUUUCAUGGCUUAGAGACCAAGUUACACUGCAACAUGCUUGAGAAGCAUUGUACAAGAGUUGUACACUCAUCCAUCUAUGUGUCACCAAUAACUGUUAGGUGAGGU